rnacentral:rRNA from 1 species
GGACGAACGCUGGCGGCGUGCUUAACACAUGCAAGUCGAACGGAAAGGCCCUGCUUGCAGGGUACUCGAGUGGCGAACGGGUGAGUAACACGUGGGUGAUCUGCCCUGCACUUCGGGAUAAGCCUGUGAAACUGGGUCUAAUACCGGAUAGGAGCCAUUUUUAGUGUGAUGGUUGGAAAGUUUUUUCGGUGUAGGAUGAGCUCGCGGCCUAUCAGCUUGUUGGUGGGGUAAUGGCCUACCAAGGCGGCGACGGGUAGCCGGCCUGAGAGGGUGGACGGCCACAUUGGGACUGAGAUACGGCCCAGACUCCUACGGGAGGCAGCAGUGGGGAAUAUUGCACAAUGGGCGCAAGCCUGAUGCAGCGACGCCGCGUGGGGGAUGACGGCCUUCGGGUUGUAAACUCCUUUCGCUAGGGACGAAGCUUUUGUGACGGUACCUAGAUAAGAAGCACCGGCUAACUACGUG